rnacentral:lncRNA from 1 species
CCACAGCAAGAGUGUUUCAAAUCUGCUCUCUCUAAAGCAAGGUUCAACUCUGUGAGUUGAAUACACACAACACAAAAAAGUUCCUGAGAACUCUUCUUAGUCUAGCAUGAAAGGAAGAAACCCCGUUUGCAACGAAGCCCUCAAAGAGGUCCAAAUAUCCACUUGCAGACAUAACAAGCAGAGUGUUUCUAAACUGCUCUAAGAAAAGAAAGGUUAAACUCUGUGAGUUGAAGGCACACAUCACAAAGUAGUUUCUGAGAAUGAUUCUGUCUAGUUUUUAUUUGAAGAUAUUUCCUUUUCUACUGUUGGCAUCAAAUCGCUUGAAAUCUCCACUUGCAAAUUCCACAAAAAGAGUGUUUCAAAUCUGCUCUGUGUAAAGGGACGUUCCACUCUGUGAGUUGAAUACACACAGCACAAAGAAGUUACUGAGAAUUCUUCUGUCUAGCAUGAAAUGAAGAAAUCCCGUUUCCAACGAAGGCCUCAAUGCGGUCCAUAUAUCCACUUGCAGACUUUACAAACAGAGUGUUUCCAAACUGCUCUAUGAAAAGAAAGGUUAAACUAUGUGAGUUGAACGCACACAUCACAAAGAAUUUUCUGAGAAUGAUUCUGUCUGGUUUUUAUUUGAAGAUAUUUCCCUUUCUACUGUUGGCAUCAAAUGGCUAGAAAUCUCCACUUGCAAAUUCCGCAAAAACAGUGUUUCAAAUCUGCUCUGUCUAAAGGGACGUUCCACUCUGUGAGUUGAAUGCACACAACACAAAGAAUUUACUGAGAAUUCUUCCGUCUAGCAUUAUAUGAUAAAAUCCCGUUUCCAACGAAGGCCUCAAACAGGUCCAUAUAUCCAAUUGCAGACUUUACAAACAGUGUGUUUCCAAACUCCUCUAUGAAAAGAAAGGAUAAACUCUGUGAGUUGAACGCACACAUCACAAAGCACUUUCUGAGAAUGAUUCUGUCUUGUUUUUAUUUACAGAUAUUUCCUUUUCUACUGUUGGCAUCAAAUCGCUUGAAAUCUCCACUUGCAAGUUCCACAAAAAGAGUGUUUCAAAUCUGCUCUGUGUAAAGGGACGUUCCAGUCUGUGAGUUGAAUACACACAACACAAAGAAGUUACUGAGAAUUCUUCUGUCUAGCAUGAAAUGAAGAAAUCCCGUUUCCAACGAAAGCCUCCAAGCGGUCCAUAUAUCCACUUGCAGACAUUACCAACAGAGUGUUUCCAAACUGCUCUAUGAAAAGAAAGGUUAAACUAUGUGAGUUGAAAGCACACAACACAUAGAAUUUACUGAGAAUUCUUCCGUCUAGCAUUAUAUGUUAAAAUCCCGUUUCCACCGAAGGUCUCAAACAGGUCCAUAUAUCCACUUGCAGACUUUACAAACAGUGUGUUUCCAAACUCCUCUAUGAAAAGAAAGGUUAAACUCUGUGAGUUGAACGCACACAUCACAAAGCACUUUCUGAGAAUGAUUCUGUCUUGUUUUUAUUUGCAGAUAUUUCCUUUUCUACUGUUGGCAUCAAAUCGCUUGAAAUCUCCACUUGCAAAUUCCACAAAAAGAGUGUUUCAAAUCUGCU